CACGUAGGGCGCAAGCGUUGUCCGGAAUUAUUGGGCGUAAAGAGCUCGUAGGCGGUCUGUUACGUCUGCUGUGAAAACCCAGGGCUUAACCCCGAGCCUGCAGUGGAUACGGGCAGACUAGAGGUAGGUAGGGGAGAAUGGAAUUCCCGGUGUAGCGGUGAAAUGCGCAGAUAUCGGGAGGAACACCGGUGGCGAAGGCGGUUCUCUGGGCCUUACCUGACGCUGAGGAGCGAAAGCGUGGGGAGCGAACAGG
rnacentral:rRNA from 1 species